rnacentral:sRNA from 1 species
UCUUGAAAAUUCACAUAAUUUUUGAAUUCUCUAAAUUGAAUCCUUAUUAUUCUCAACGUUUUAUUCCCAAAAAAAAAACACACUCCACAGAAAAGUUAUUACACUGGCUCACAAUACAUGCAUAUAUACAAAUUCUUUAUAAAAAAAACAUUACCAUUAACGUUUAUCCGUAAGAAAAAUAUUUUACCCAAUUUAAACACUCUUUCAUAGAUACAUAUAGCUACAAAUACAUGUAAAUUAAAUGAUUCACCCACAUUAUAUAUUAAGCUUAAUAUUAAGUUGUUACGAAAAUAUAUGUAGAGAGGAAUGCUAAUGGAUCAUUUCCACUUCCUUUGUCCGAACAUGCCCUUGCCUCGUUUCCCCCCGAACAUGUCAUGCUUGCCUCUUUUGCCUCCGAACAUGCCGUGCUUGCCACACUUGUAAUUCCCUCCUCCGAUACUUUGCUUUCCUCGCUUGUACUUUCCUCCUCCAAGUAAUCCUCUUAUGUAUUUUCCAUGGUUGUGGUGCUCGUAGCCUGCGCGAUGACCCACAUGGUGACCACCCAUUGCAGCCACUACCGCUGUUGCCGCUCCUGCUAUCAAUCCCCCAACUCCUCCUCCAAGCCCUAUUAUAUUCACAUGAUGAGAUUAUUCAAUCAACGGUUAAUUGGCAUGUGAACCCAUCAAACCAAAUUGAGCUUAUAAACCUAGACCAACAUUAUUUAUAAUCGAUAUGUCUCUAAACUGAACCAAAACCAUGUUGACAAAAAAAAACACUGAACAAAAGCCACAUUCUUUUAUGUUUCUGAAUUGAACCCAAAAAAA